rfam:Tncinocarpus reesii 1704 cont2.358, whole genome shotgun sequence.
UUUAUGUGAUGAUCUCUUAGAUGACGAGUCCUAUACGAGUACUCGAUGCGGACACCCUUCUUAUUUUACCAUUCAUGCCUUUCUGAAA